rnacentral:rRNA from 1 species
UGGAAGGUAAAAAGUCGUAACAAGGUUUCCGUAGGUGAACCUGCGGAAGGAUCAUUAAAAAUUUAAUUGUUUACACGUUUACGUUUAACAUAUACAACUAACCAACUUAAUUAUGUCAACAACAACAACCAAAAAUCAAAACUUUCAACAACGGAUCUCUUGGUUCUCGCAUCGAUGAAGAACGCAGCGAAAUGCGAUAAGUAAUAUGAAUUGCAGAUUUUCGUGAAUCAUCGAAUCUUUGAACGCACAUUGCACCUUGUGGUAUUCCACAAGGUAUGCCUGUUUGAGCGUCAUUUCUCCCUCAACCCCCGCGGGUUGGCGUUGAAUGGCACGAGCUCUUAGUCAGUCCAUUCGAAAAGUAUUUUUCUUGUGUUGUUAUUUUCUAAUUUAGUAGUGACAACCACACUAAAAACACAUUUUCCUCAAAUCAGGUAGGACUACCCGCUGAACUUAAGCAUAUCAAAAGGCGGGAGGAA